rnacentral:tRNA from 1 species
GGAGAGAUGCCUGAGUUGGUUGAAAGGGCACGACUGGAAAUCGUGUAGAUGGUCUAAAAAACUGUCUCGUGGGUUCGAAUCCCACUCUCUCCGCCA